GUACCCCUGUCAUGCCUGAGUGUGGCACAGGGGGUUAAUGCACAGCACCAAAGCAUGUGCUUGUGCAUAACCAGAAAAUGUUUUGCACUAAUUUAUUAAUCGUAGACUAGGAUG
rnacentral:snoRNA from 1 species